CCAUCGGUGGUUCUGUGGUAGAGUGCUCGCCUGCCACGCGGGCGGCCCGGGUUCGACUCCCGGCCGACGCA
rnacentral:tRNA from 1 species